GUUUCAUGUCCAGGCCUCCUAGAGUUCUGGAUCACAAGUGAUUUCAACCCUGGGCUUUUGUCCCCCCACCCUUCUUCCUUCUCAGCCCUGGAGAAAGCAGGCCAGAAGAAAAAGCAGGGGACAAAUGCAGUAUUGAAUUUGAGAAAACCGUCUGACACUGCUUUUGUAUCUCAAAUUCAGCCAUGCAUAUAGUUCCAAAGGACAAACAACACAGCAGAAAUGAUAGCCCAUGGCUACUGACUGUGACCAGGCAAUGAAGUCUGACUGAGCCUUCACUUUGUACAUUCGCCCACCAGUGGCUUAGCCUAAAGAACCGUGAUUGGUGUUUUAAAGGACAAUGGUGUCACUGUGCUCCAAAGUCAUAUGAAGUUCCAUUUUAACCUGCAGCUUUUGCUCUUUCGUAAGUAAACAUUGGAACAAUUAUGUCCAACUCUGCUAUAAGGUAGUAUGGGGCAGCUAUCUCAGGUAGCAGAAGCUAUGGAAUGACAUUAUCUGCUCACUAGAUGCUACUCCUAAUGCCUUGUUUAUUCUCCCCCACUCCAAUAUAUUUCUGCAUCAGAUGAACUAGCUUGCUUCCUUUGCCAAACCCAACAACUUGUGUACUCACAAUGGAAGGAGGUAUUUAUUACUCUUUGCAUCAAGUAUAUUAAGGCCUUUGUAUUUCUCUGCACACAAUUACAGCAUUUUUUAAAUGUGAGUUUAUGCUAGAUUUUUGUAUUAUAACAUUUCAAACAGUUGGCAGAAUGUUUUCAUUGGGGAAUGUGAGAGAUGCUUAAUUGUUUCUCACAGCCAGAAGGCAAGCAACAACCUGUCCCAUACCAAUCCCAUAAGGUCUAGAAGAUAAAAUGAAGCAGACUUAAUUUUCUUUGCUUGUUUAAUGGAAAGAUAGAUAGAUAGAUAGAUAGAUAGAUAGAUAGAUAGAUAGAUAGAUAGAUAGAUAGAUAGAUAAAGUUAAUUUUAUGUACACAAUC
rnacentral:lncRNA from 1 species